UGGGGAAUAUUGGUCAAUGGGGGAAACCCUGAACCAGCAACGCCGCGUGAAGGAAGAAGGCUUUCGGGUUGUAAACUUCUUUUGUCAGGGACGAAGCAAGUGACGGUACCUGACGAAUAAGCCACGGCUAACUACGUGCCAGCAGCCGCGGUAAUACGUAGGUGGCAAGCGUUAUCCGGAUUUAUUGGGUGUAAAGGGCGUGUAGGCGGGAUUGCAAGUCAGAUGUGAAAACUGGGGGCUCAACCUCCAGCCUGCAUUUGAAACUGUAGUUCUUGAGUGUCGGAGAGGCAAUCGGAAUUCCGUGUGUAGCGGUGAAAUGCGUAGAUAUACGGAGGAACACCAGUGGCGAAGGCGGAUUGCUGGACGAUAACUGACGCUGAGGCGCGAAAGCGUGGGGAGCAAACAGGAUUAGAUACCCUGGUAGUCCACGCCGUAAACGAUGGAUACUAGGUGUGGGGGGACUGACCCCCUCCGUGCCGCAGCUAACGCAAUAAGUAUCCCACCUGGGGAGUACGAUCGCAAGGUUGAAACUCAAAGGAAUUGACGGGGGCCCGCACAAGCGGUGGAGUAUGUGGUUUAAUUCGAAGCAACGCGAAGAACCUUACCAGGGCUUGACAUCCUACUAACGAAGCAGAGAUGCAUUAGGUGCCCUUCGGGGAAAGUAGAGACAGGUGGUGCAUGGUUGUCGUCAGCUCGUGUCGUGAGAUGUUGGGUUAAGUCCCGCAACGAGCGCAACCCUUAUUGUUAGUUGCUACGCAAGAGCACUCUAGCGAGACUGCCGUUGACAAAACGGAGGAAGGUGGGGACGACGUCAAAUCAUCAUGCCCCUUAUGUCCUGGGCCACACACGUACUACAAUGGCGGUAAACAAAGAGAGGCAAGACCGCGAGGUGGAGCAAAUCUCAAAAAGCCGUCCCAGUUCGGAUUGCAGGCUGCAACCCGCCUGCAUGAAGUUGGAAUCGCUAGUAAUCGCGGAUCAGCAUGCCGCGGUGAAUACGUUCCC
rnacentral:rRNA from 1 species